rnacentral:rRNA from 1 species
AACGAACGCUGGCGGCAUGCCUAACACAUGCAAGUCGAACGAGACCUUCGGGACUAGUGGCGCACGGGUGCGUAACGCGUGGGAACCUGCCCUUAGGCUCGGAAUAACUCCCUGAAAGGGGUGCUAAUACCGGAUAAUGUCUUCGGACCAAAGAUUGAUCGCCCUUGGAUGGGCCCGCGUUGGAUUAGCUAGUUGGUAGGGUAAAAGCCUACCAAGGCGACGAUACAUAGCUGGUCUGAGAGGAUGAUCAGCCACACUGGGACUGAGACACGGCCCAGACUCCUACGGGAGGCAGCAGUGGGGAAUAUUGGACAAUGGGCGAAAGCCUGAUCCAGCAAGGCCGCGUGAGUGAUGAAGGCCUUAGGGUUGUAAAGCUCUUUUACCCGGGAUGAUAAUGACAGUACCGAGAGAAUAAGCUCCGGCUAACUCCGUG